UAGAUCUGAGUAUAUCAAUAUUACCUUGUUCAGAACUUAAAGAGAAAUCUUGAGUUUAUGGACUUCAGGGGGAGUAUGGUCACAAGGCUGAAACUUAAAGGAAUUGACGGAAGGGCACACCAGGAGUGGAGCCUGCGGCUUAAUUUGACUCAACACGGGAAAACUUACCAAGACCGAACAGUAGAAGGAAUGACAGAUUAAGAGUUCUUUCAUGAUUUAUUGGGUAGUGGUGCAUGGCCGUUCUUAGUUGGUGGAGUGAUUUGUCAGGUUAAUUCCGGUAACGAACGAGACUGAAACCUAUUAAUUAGUUUUUCUGCCUAUAAGACAGAAAUGUUCGCAAGAACAGGUGCGUAAGUACCACUUCUUAAAGGGACACAUUYCAAUUGUCCUAUUUUAAUUGUAGUUAUCUAAUUUCG
rnacentral:rRNA from 1 species